rnacentral:tRNA from 1 species
AUGUCUUUAGUUCAGAUGGAAGAACAUAGGUUUCCAAAACCUAACGUCGUAGGUUCAAAUCCUACAAGACAUG